AUCAAAUCAGAAGGUGCAUGUACAAACUCCACAUAUAUGUUAUUUGUUAUUAUUUAAUUGUAGGAAAGUUUUACUAUGAUAAAUUUUUGAAUAGACUCAUUGUACCAAUUAAUAGUAGAGUUCUUAUCUCACUUCAAGUAAAAAUUUUCAACUCUUAAUUUUAGGAGAUCCAAGAAAAAUUCAUGAUAUAUAGAGUUGUCAGAGGGUUCCCUAUUUUUUCUCUCAUUUUUGUGUGUUGUUCCGCUUUGUUUUGCCGGCCAGCGGCUCCCUCUGCCCCUCAA
rnacentral:misc_RNA from 1 species